AUGAAGAAGAGGAAAAGAGGGAAGGUUGUGAGGUCGCGAUGUCCGGCCCACCUUUACAUCACCCACACGGAUGCGUGGUGGAGAGUCAAACACUUCAACGACGACCACAACCACCCUCUAAUAAGAAAGCCGUCCUUGACAAAGUUCCUAUCAUCACAUAGGAACAUUCCAAAAGAUGAGCAGGACUUCUUGAAGAUAUUGCACGGAUGCAACAUAGAGACAGCCAGACAGAUGCAACUAAUGGAAUGGUUCUACGGGAAUCCUAAAGAUGUACCAUACACAACAAAGGACAUUGCAAACCAACGAGCUAAAUUCCGGAUGGAGUACCGCCAUGCUGAUGUCGGGAGCACAAUCUCGUACUUCCAAGAUAUGAAGGCACAAGAUCUAGAUUUCUAUUGGAGAAUAAAGUUUGAUGAUGAGGACAGAGUGGAGAAUUUAUUCUGGAUAGAUGGUGCGUUGCGCAGGGCAUAUGCUAGAUACAAUGAUAUCAUCUCAUUUGACACAACAUACAUGACAAACAUGUACAAAAUGCCCUAUGCACCCUUCAUUGGCAUUAAUAACCAUGGGCAGUCGAUCCAAUUUGGUUGUGGGUUUAUUCGAAACGAACUAUCUGGUAACUUUGUGUGGCUGUUUAAUGCAUUCUUGCAUGCAAUGGAUGGAAUUGCGCCAAAGAACAUAAUAACAGAUCAAGAUUUUGCAAUGAGAAGUGCUAUUGAUGAGGUGUUCAUCGGGAUAGUACACAGGAAUUGCCGCUGGCAUAUAAUGAAAAAAGCACAAGAGAAGCUUGGGAAGCUGAUGGCUGACAAUGACCCACUAAACAAUGCAUUCAAGGAUUUUGUUGACAACAACCUGACUGGUAUUUUACUUCCCACCCCUCACUAG
rnacentral:rRNA from 1 species